AAGUCGUAACAAGGUUUCCGUAGGUGAACCUGCGGAAGGAUCAUUAUCGUACAAAAUGUGAGAGGGGCAUGCGAGGGCUGUCGCUGACUCAAAGUCGUGCACGCCCGAGUGUGUCGCCUCACAUAAUAAUCCAUCUCACCCUUUGUGCAUCACCGCGUGGGCACCCCUUUGGGAUCAUCUCGGAGGGGGCUCGCGUUUUCACACAAAACCCCCCUUUUAAAAGUGUAGAAUGACCUCAUUUAUGCGCUAACCCGCAAUCAAUACAACUUUCAACAACGGAUCUCUUGGCUCUCGCAUCGAUGAAGAACGCAGCGAAAUGCGAUACGUAAUGUGAAUUGCAGAAUUCAGUGAAUCAUCGAAUCUUUGAACGCACCUUGCGCCCCCUGGUAUUCCGAGGGGCACACCCGUUUGAGUGUCGUGAAAACCUCAACCUCCUUGGUUUCUUCUGGAGACCAAAGCAGGCUUGGACUUUGGAGGCCUUUGCUGGCACCUCUCGCCAGCUCCUCUUAAAUGAAUUAGCAGGGUCCUCUUUGCUGAUCCUCGACGUGUGAUAAGAUGUUUCCAUGUCUUGGUUUCUGGCUCUGUCACCUUUGGGACCCGCUUCUAACCGUCUUCAACCUUGCGUUGAGACAACGUUCGAGCAUGUCUCCCUUCUCGGGAAGCUCCCUCGACCCCACGAACCCUUGACCUCAAAUCGGGUGAGACUACCCGCUGAACUUAA
rnacentral:rRNA from 1 species